UGUAUUUUCAGGACGUUUAUCGACUUUAUGGUCUCCCUCUUUCUAUUGUGUCCGAUAGGGAUGCCAGGUUUUUGUCACUUUUUUGGCGGAGUUUGUGGAAGUUAACUCGUACAGAGUUGAAGUUUAGUAGUGCUUACCACCCCCAGACGAAUGGGCAAACCGAAGUAAUCAACUGCUCCUUGGGUAAUUUGCCUCGAAGUUUUGUAGGCGGUCAUUUGAAGACCUGGGAUCAGUGUUUGUGUCUUGCUGAGUUUGCAUUAAAUAGCACUGUCAAUCAGAGCACAGGAUUUCCCCCUUUCCAGGUUAUCUAUGGUCACCUUCCUCGUACUCCAAUUGAUCUUUUGCCUCUUCCUGAGGUACCGCAUGUCCAUGGCAGUGCUGGUAAUUUCAUUGACAGGUUGCAAUAGAUUCAUCAGUCUACCCAGCAACGUCUACUCGAGUCCACGACCAAACAUAAACAAUUUGCUGAUCGAAAGCAGCGUCCUUUGGAGCUGGAGGUAGGGGAUUUUGUUUGGGCCACUCUCACCAAAGAUAGGUUCUCUCCAGUUGAUUACAACAAACUCUCUGCUAGGAAAAUUGGUCCUUUCAAAAUCAUUUCCAAGAUCAACAGUAACGCCUAUAAAUUGAAGCUACCCAGCCAUGUCCAAACCAGUGAUGUGUUUAAUGUCAAACAUCUUAUUUUGUCUCACCCGACGGGAAUGAUGUAGUCCAAGAUGCAGACCAAGCAGCUACCAUGUUCAUGGAGAAAUAUGACCGUUGGAAUUGAAGGAUUGAAAUCUGUUAUGGAAUUCUGGUAAUAUGUUGUCUUCUUUCGUUUGAGUUGGGUUCUUAUUUUGUCUAAUUGUUAGUUCUUUUAGGCCCUUUGUGUUGUAAGGCCUUUGGCCCAUAGCUUUAGGGUUAUGUGGGUGUUUGUAUGGAUGUAGUUGGUAGUUUUUGAAGAACAUAAAAGAAAGUAGAGACGUAGUCUCCGCCGUUGUUCCAAUUCUUGGCAUCUUGCAAAGAUCAACAAGUAUU